rnacentral:ncRNA from 2 species
GCGCGCGUUUUCCAUUCAGGUGUGCCGCCGCAAGGCGCGCAUUAAACGGGAAGCCGGUGCGUUCAAUCGAACAAUCCCGGCGCUGCCCCCGCAACGGUAAUCGACCGCGAUCCCCCGUGAUCGCCGUCCGCUCAACCGCCACUGUGUUUCGACAUGGGAAGGCGAGCGUGAUGCGAGUCGAGAGCCCGGAGACCGGCCUGAGCGGAUUCGACUGG